AAAGGGCAUGACAUGAGUAAGUGCUAGAUAGCUUCAUCUUUGUUACAAAAGUAGCACUUAUUGUUACCAUUCCAGUUGCAAAGGUAAUCCUUUGUUAAAAACAAUCUUACAAAGGUAUCAAACUAAUAUACUGUGUGACAGGGAUAAUACCUCACUUGGUUUUGUUCUUUCCGUCGAAUUUUGGCCCACCGGGUUAGUCCAUUUUCUUAUACGAGAUCAACACAAAACGACAAUCAUCUUUUCGAUAGCCACUUGAUGUUCGACAAAAAUACAACUAGCGGUAGUGGUACAUUAAAAAUGUGCACACAUUUUAAGUGAUGUAUAAUAAAAAUUGACCAAAUUCCCAGUGAUUGACCAUGGGAACUUUUCGGUGAUGAAUAUAGUGGCCGGAAUAUCCACAUUUGUUUUCUUUUUUCCUUCUUUUGAAACAUAUUUUCUUGCACCUAGAGGGCACACAUUUGAAUUACACGGAUACGAACAUUUAUUCUCUGUUCUUUUUUUUUAACCGAGGCCUCUCUGUGUUUCAUGUGAAAAAUCCAGAUUCCAACAUUUGCAAUUUUUGAAACCGAGAUCACCCCUCGGCGUGUUUCACUUGCCUCCAGAGCGAAGAUAAUGCUGAACACAUACUUAAUCAGUGUGUCUACGCGCGUGAAGUAUGGUACAAAUGUCUGGAUAACCUUUAGCUACCGAUCCCAUGGCCGACGGUUACGGACACCAUCUUGGACUGGUGGCUUCGACAAAGAGCUAACUUUCGAUCGACUGCAAAAGAGGAUUUGACAGUCUUGUCAUUUGCAUGGCUUGGGCAUUGUGGAAACAGGGAAACGUCAUAAUCUUCAACAGAGAGGAUCAACAAGUGGAUGCAGCUGCCCUUGCUCGCAUGAUUCUAGAUGAUCUUAGAGAGUGGAAUUUAGCACUUCAGGUGUAGGAGGACUACAACGUUUCGUGAAACAAUAGGAUAGAUUGAGCGUGUAGAGUGGGUGUUCCCACGUUGAUGUUUGCAUUAGCGUGUGGAUUUUUAUAAAUCUAUUUCUUCCUUCUAUAAAAUUAGGGAAAAGCUAGUGGUCAACCGGCGGAUCUUUUCUCUCACAUCUGCCAUGUUCUACGCUUGACACGUGUCUUGAUGGGCCAGCGCACCGCUUCUCUCCUUCAUCCCUAUCUCCACUGAAAUGGCCGCAUAUAUUUAUCUCUCCACUCCAUGUGUUGAAUCCAACCUUCACCCGCAACCUCUUUAUGGAUCUCAUCUCACCAUGCAGAGCACUCUGUACUCCAGUUCUUGCAACUAGACACCUGUUUCGAAAAGGCAUACCACAACAGCCACACAUUCUCAUGUUGACUCUCCCACCCCCUACCUUUAUCUCUCAAUCCCCUGCCUCUUUCCAUGGAUCUCAUCCCCACCUCUUCUCAAACAAACACGUUGAUGCAACCCCACAACAUUGGCGGCGGCCACGGGAGUCCUUCCUCCGCCGUAAAAAUGCGGGUGCUGCAGUGACCACGGGGUGCUCUCUCCGUUGCCGUGGUCGGCGUCCCUGCAAGUUUUCGCAACAAUAGUCUUGUUGCAGGAAUACAUAGAAGAGGCUGGAGAUGUUGGGUCCUAUUGCAAUGGAGAUUUUGCAACAAGGGCCUUUUUACACAAAACAGCGAAGAAGUUUCGCAUUAAUGGUCUUGUUGCAGAAAAAUAGAGAAGAAAAAGUUUUGCAACAAAGGUCUUGUUGCAGAAAAUUAGAGAAGGGAAGAUUUUGCAAUGAAGGUCUUGUUACAGAAAAUCAGAGAAAAAGAAUUUUUGUAGCAUGGCUCUUGUCGCAAAAAGUUAGUGGAGAAGAGAGUUUGCAACAAGAGCAUUGUCACACGAAAUUAGAGAAGAAGAAAGAACGGUCCUCAUACAAUCGGGCGGCUCGCGAGACGGCGGAUCUUUUAAAAUUAUCAUAAACAAUUGCGUACUCUGGAAAGAGAAAACAUUUGCAAUUCUUUCUUUCAAGCAUUGUUCCAGUUGGACAGCUGUGCACGGACAGGCUCUCAAGCACAACAGACCGAGCGAGCCGAGAUGGCAUCCGCUUGGCCGCCGUGGGUCAUCCUUGGUAGCGUGCCGCGGGUGGCGGCCGACCUCUCCCUCGCGCUCCCGGCCCGGCGCCCUCUCGCGUGGCGCUCCUCGCCAUCCCCCCGCGCGUCUUCCCGGGCCUCUCCUAGUGCCUGCUCACCUGCGAGUCUCUGGUGGGUCGCACUCGGGGAGACUCUGGUGGGUCGGCCUCUCCUGGUCCCUGCUCACCUGCGACACCUUCGACGACGCGCCGGUGCUGAGCGUCGUCCAGCCACCGCCGGGCAAGGCGCUCAAGAGCAAUCAGGUUCAGGGCCUCGGAGGCUUGGGGGUUGCUCGACAAGUACCGCUGCGUGGGUGUCAGCGCCGGCAGGCUACGGUUCUUGGACAUAUGUACAGGAACCGUAGCAGCGGCGCCGCUGCACAGAUCAGCGUGUGGACGACGCUCGGCGGUCCGGACUCCGCGGAGUGGACGCUGGAGCACGAGGCCACCUUUGCGGAAAUCUGCAAGAUCCCCGUGCUUGCGCUCAGCCAUGAGCCUACUGUAAGUUAAGAGGAUCCACUUCCCUCCUUAAUUUCCACCAAACUUAAACUCAUAAAACGAGCCUAACAAGUAAGUAACGAUAUGUCCUUUCUAUGAUCUGAUCUGAUAUCCAGAAUAAGUUCCUGCAUUCGAAUCUCUAUCCCUUUAGGUUCACUCUGCUCCGCUCCACCGGAUGGAGCUGCGGAUAACCGAAUCGGUCCAUACUACAUACAUUGAUGGGACGUCCACUAAUCAUGCACCAGUCCAUCUCUACCGAGUAUGUCUGAGAAACAAUUCCACAUUCUUGCAAAGAAAAUCAAAAUCAAAAUUUCACAAGCAUUCGUGUCCAUUCCAACAUAGCAGGAAUCAAUUCCAUAUGCAUUUCUGUCUAUUUGUUUUCCUUUGGAUCUUUUAACUGAACCCCCGCUCUAUCAUCUCAUAGUGUUCUAGAAGCGUCCUUUCCCGAUGCCAAGAAUAUGGUUCUCCAAUUAAAAACGAGAUAGAGCAAUCUAGAUUUAGAGAUUUGGGCACUGUCUAAUAUGAUUCGCAUGGACGGAGAAUGCAUUCCCCCCCUGCUCUAUAUAUAAAGGGGGCAGUCCCCUUGGGACUGAGACACAACCCACAGGAACAUCUCUCCCCCCAAGCUGCCCAAUCCAGUAAGGCACAGCAACCCACAAGAAGCGCUCUCCAGGACGAUCCAGCAUCUUCCUUGAGCACACCCGAGUCCAGCUCAGGUUGUUCCAUGACAGGUUGAGCACACCUGAGUCCAGUUCUGAGCACAUCUUCUACCUCCAGACUUCAACAACCUGAACUCAGGUGUGCUCAACUUGUCUGCAACAACCUUAACCUGUGCUCGAUCUAGUAGGAUCCCUGUGCUUGCACUCAGCCAUGAGCCUACUGUAUGUUAGAGGACCCACUUACCGACCAUAGCACAUACAAGUUUGGCACUCGGUUCAGGUUGUUGCUCCUCGUUCUCUCUUGGAACAACCUCACUGGUGCCAUCCCUGGUGCUACACUCUAUGCCUACACCGAGCUCUGAUUUCUCAACCUCUCCCACAACGCCUUUGAUUGAGUCCUUCCAGACAACAUCAAUGGGUUAUUACCAUUGAUGACACACCCCAAAACGUCGACCAACAACUUCAGUGGUGUUGUUGCCGAAGCUCGGCUGACGCCGUCGGCACAACACCACUAAAGUUGUUGGUCAACAGGUUGAGAUGCGUCAUCAAUGGUGAUAGCCCAUUGACGUCGCCUGGAAGGACUCCAUCGAAGGAGUUGUGUGAGAGAUCGAGAAAUUGGAGCUCGGUGCAGGCAUAUAGCGUAGCACCAGGGAAGGCACCAGUGAGGUUGUUCCAAGAGAGAUCGAGGAGCGUCAUACUCCUGAGGUUGCUCACCGAUGCCGGCAUGCUGGUGAAUUGUCAUGAGGUACUCCUUCGAUGGGUAUGCAGCUCCCACAAUAAUAUUUGUACAUCAAUACAUGCAAAUUUCCAAUAGAAAUUGUCUCCUGGAAUUCAAACAGAUGUUUUUUGGGACGGUAAUCCAUUCAGAAGUCAUUUUUGUAACCAUAACUAGCAUCUUUCUCUCUUGUACUACAUACGUAGUGCUAGUUAUUAUUAUGAUCAAGUGCUAUAUUUUUUUUGUUUUUGAGACUUGUAAUGGUCUGAGAAAAUAUGCACAGUGAAUCUGAAUAAGCUGUUACAUAUGAGUAGUUCAUGGAGUGAUCAUAUUGAAGUGAAUUUCAUAAGAGAAUCCUUUUCUGGAUUUCAUGCAUUUCCUUGAACACAGAUUUGUUUCUAAACAUUAUCUGUUAUGCUUCAUUUUAAUGUAUGCAAAUUUUUAAUUUAAUUUUGUUAGGGAGCUAGUGUUUCUAAGUUCUAACUGCAACUGUCCCUGGAUGAGUAGGCUUGUUCGAAUCUAGUAUCCUUCUCUCUUUGUUGUAGUACACUACUUAUGGAAUAUUUGUUAUUAGAAUAAUUUUGUUUCCUAAUAAUUAUCAAAAUGCUUGUACCAGUUCCUUCGUCCCCCCCCCCCCCCCCCCCCAUUCAGUCUAUUGUUGUAUCCCGCAAAAAAAAAGUCUAUAUUGGCGUGACAAAUACUGGUAAGUUACUAUAUUCAUCUAGUUUUUGUUACCCACAAGAGAAUUAGAUGAUCCGAUGGGCUGAAGCUUCUAUGCGUUGGCUAGUACUGUAUAAUACUAAUGUUCUGCAAAGGAGACUGCCAAUGGCGUGAAGGAAGAGCUGCAGCAACUGCAUCUGUGAGACAAAAAUGAGGAAUGAGAAGUUGGGUUAACUUCUUCACAGGUAGGGGAAGCAAUAGAUCAAGUUCACUGGCCACCGGCUGGCAAUGGCUAAACCGUGUUUGCUUGCUUUUCUUGUCACUGAAGUUGAGACUUCAGUAGUGCUGGUAUUUACAGUUUAGCCCUAUGCUUGAUCCACCCUAUUGGCUCAGAACUGAACUCAGCACUGCAAGUGCUUCAUAGGAUUAGGGCUGACACCGUGGCAGUAAUUGAUGCAGUAUGCUCUUGUUAUUGUGUUUCUAUCUCUUGUUAACUUUGUCGAUCCAACGAGUACUUGGAAGUUGGACGCAAGUGAGGCUGUGCCGUUCUGUUCCAGAAUUUAGAUGUCGUGUCUUCAAAAUUUCAUCGUCUUUGUUUCAACUCCAUCGGCAAUCCGGUGGGAUGUCAGAGCCAAUUACCAAUUUCCCGCGACUUAGUUGUUGUGAAAAGUUUUGACUUGGGAGUUGUUGAAAGCCAUGCUUGUUCGCCGUGUCUUCUUAUCUUGGAUGACAUAUGUCAAAAAGGGACUCACAUCUGAGAUCUUUCUAGAAGAUUUAAUUUACAAAAUCUAUAGUUUUUGUAUACUCUUUGAUAGGGUGGAAACUCUCGGACGAGGAAAAUGAUCCAUGUGAAAGAAUCCACUAAGAGGCGGAGAAAAUUCGAGACAUAUGCAAGCACAACACUGGAAAGGACCUUGAGAGAGAAAAACAAUACAAACAGGUCCCGUAGAACUUCACCAUGAGACCUUGUCAUCGCCUGACGCCUUCCUCCAUAGUCGAUGGAGUGCUCAUCAGAGGGGAAACCGAGCAUCCUUUACAUCAGGCAGGUGAGGAGGAUCUUCACUUGUCCGCUCUUGGAGGCCUCAACAGUGGGUCAAAGGGUUUCUGCUUUGUGGAAUGCGGUAGCAGUACUCUAUCACCGCCCAAGAAACCAAAAAUGAGCUAGAGUUGUAGAUGCAGAAUAUAAUAUCAGCAAGUAGUAUUGGUAGUUGGUGCAUCGACAACCGUUGAAGAAUAAAAAAGUAGUUGUAGAAAUGGUACUCCUUGGUAUUGUCUAUUUCAGUUGUAGCAGAGCUUACAUUCCUCUUGAGAGGAAGACGUCCUUUGUACAUUCGUGGCUUAUAAUACAGAGUUUGUAAUUUUGGAUA